rnacentral:rRNA from 1 species
AAUUUUGGACAAUGGGGGCAACCCUGAUCCAGCAAUGCCGCGUGUGUGAAGAAGGCCUUCGGGUUGUAAAGCACUUUUGUCCGGGAAGAAAUCGCACCUGAUAAUACCGGGUGUGGAUGACGGUACCGGAAGAAUAAGGACCGGCUAACUACGUGCCAGCAGCCGCGGUAAUACGUAGGGUCCAAGCGUUAAUCGGAAUUACUGGGCGUAAAGCGUGCGCAGGCGGUUGUGCAAGACCGAUGUGAAAUCCCCGGGCUUAACCUGGGAAUUGCAUUGGUGACUGCACGGCUAGAGUGUGUCAGAGGGGGGUAGAAUUCCACGUGUAGCGGUGAAAAUGCGUAGAGAUGUGGAGGAAAUACCGAUGGCGAAGGCAGCCCCCUGGGAUAACACUGACGCUCAUGCACGAAAAGCGUGGGGAGCAAAACAGAGAUUAGAUACCCUGGUAGUCCACGCCCGUAAACGAAUGUCAAACUUAGUUGUUGGGGAUUCAUUUCCUUAGUAACGUAGCUAACGGCGUGAAAGUGACCG